rnacentral:rRNA from 1 species
CGUACUUUUUGUAGAACGGACCGGCGAGUUACGUUAUGCAGCAAGGUUAAGAACUGAAGGUUCGGAGCCGAAGCGAAAGCGAGUCUGAAUAGGGCGAUAGUUGCAUGACGUAGACCCGAAACCGGGUGACCUAUCCAUGAGCAGGUUGAAGUGGAGGUAAAGCUCCAUGGAGGACCGAACCAGACGUCUGUUGAAAAAGGCGGGGAUGACUUGUGGAUAGGGGAGAAAUUCCAAUCGAACCCGGAGAUAGCUGGUUCUCCUCGAAAUAGCUUUAGGGCUAGCCUCAUGGAUCAUUGAUGGGGGUAGAGCACUGAAUGUGCGCGGGGGCCACAAAGCCUACCAAACGCUAUCAAACUUCGAAUACCAUACAAUGCAGACCAUGGGAGUCAGUCCGCGAGAGAUAAGUUCCGCGGGCAAAAGGGGAACACCCCAGAUCAACCGCUAAGGUCCCCAAGUUCACGUUAAGUGGAGAAGGAUGUGGAAUUGCACAGACAACCAGGAUGUUGGCUCAGAAGCAGCCACACAUUUAAAGAGUGCGUAAUAGCUCACUGGUCGAGUGAUUGUGCGCCGAAGAUGUCCGGGGCUAAACGUGACACCGAAGCGAUGGGUGCAUCUGAAGAAGAUGCGCGGUAGAGGAGCAAUGUGCAGAGGCAGAAGCCGUAUCGAGAGGCACGGUGGACACUGCACAAGAGAGAAUGCCGGUAUGAGUAGCGAGAGGCAUGCGAGAAACAUGCCCGUCGAAAGCCCAAGGUUUCCUGGGGAAGGUUCAUCCGCCCAGGGUAAGUCGGGGCCUAAGCCGAGGACGGAAGUCGUAGGCGAUGGACAGCAGGUGUAGAUUCCUGCACUACCGAUGGAAUGAAGCAGUGACACAGAAGGAUAACUCGAGCAGGGUGAUGGUCAAACCCUGUGCAAGCAUGAGGUUGGGUUGUAGUGAAGUACGCAAAUCCUAUAAGCUGAGGUGUGAUGCGGACCGAAAUUUCAGUAGGAAGCGAGUGAGUUCACGCUGGCGAGAAAAAGCUGCUAG